rnacentral:lncRNA from 1 species
UUGUAUUCACUUGUAAAAGUUAAGAUGGCCGGUGUCUAACACUGGCCCAAUAUUGUAAAAGUUGAAACAAUAAUUUUUAUCAACCUUAUUUUAAUAUGAAAUUGAAAAUACUAAAAGUUAGUACAUGUAAGUUAUUAUCAAAUCAAAUAUAAACAAUACUACAUGCCAUUGCUGGAUAACUCAUGUAACAUCAAGGUAUAAAAAUAUUCAAAUUGCCUUUCAUCCAACUUUGAAUGGAUAUUGUUCUCAAGAGGCCUUUAUAAGCCUGAAUCCUGAGACCUUGGCAUCAAGCACUUCCACCAAUAUGUUGCUUCCUUUUAUGUUACGACGCAUCUCACUUGGUCUAAUUCUUUCAUGCAGAUUAUUUCCCUGAAAUGUAGACAUCAGUUGAAAUUAUCGAGUCAUCUUUUAUCUAUCAUCCAAAAAAGCAUUUAAAACUUAUCUUUUGGCAGGGCUACUGAAUUUCAUCUAUCAUCAUCUUCUGCCUCCAAGCUCUUUUUCCUCCUCAGAAUGUGUUCUUAAGAUUGUCAAAUUUCAGUAGUACGUACUAAAUCGUAAGACUGUAGCUUGGUACCUAUCGAUUAUAUAUUGAAGAAGAAAACAUUUGAAACAUACUUAUAAAGCAGAAUUAUUCUCUGAAGAGCACUAUAACUUUAUAAAAAAUCAAAUAUGCAACCUGUUAUAUUUGUUAUACAUACUUGGAUGAAUUUAGGAACCUCUAAUUAUCUGCAUGUAGGUAGAAUGCUAACCUCGCUAACUGGAAAGAUACACAUGUUGAAUGAUCAAUUUUCAUCUAUGUAUGGUCAUAAAUAUGAUGGAAAUAAAUAAAUUGAACAUAAAAACUCUUAGAAGCAAAAUUGCAAUGCCAAGUUGCUAGAAGUGACUCCACGUUAUACAAUAUAAUGGAGUGCUCUGAAGCUCUCUGGUGGCAUCUUGCAAGAUUUCCUUCUACUUUUUCAUUUUUAGAUUGCAAUUUAGCAAAUGGUUUGCUCAACACACACUUAAAGCUCAAUAGAAUUGCUCACAAAGUUUAUAACCAACUGAAAGACUUUACACCUUUUCCCUUUCCUUCUCAAAUAUGAACCCAAAUAAUGACAAAGUCUAUUAGAAACCAUAAAAGCUUAACAUUUCGAAAACUAAAGGUAUUUUGUGCAUAGGCAAGAUCAAAUAACCAGAAUAACAGAUAAGUAUAAAUAAAUAACAAGCACAACGAUCAUAUAGUAUUUUAAAUCAUUCAAAGUGCUUAUUAGGGCUUCUAAGACGAAAACUGAAGAUUUUCGUGGCCUUUAAAUUUUAAAGGAAAUAGUCAAGAAGAAAGAGAAAACAAUAGCUUUUGAUUUGAAAAAUAUUCUAGUAACAUGUACAUGGAUGUAGUUUUGGAACUCAAAAUUAUUAAUGAAUUUUGCAAAAAAAAUGCGAUUGAGUUAAAUAUGCUCGCUAGAAACCAUGUUAUUAUGAACUAUUUUACACUCUCUUUUAGAAGGUAAGUAGAAUAGACUAGCUUACACUUAAAGAUGGUAUUUUGAUGACCAAACUAAUGGCCACCGCCUAAAAUCCCUUUUUUUUUCGUUCUAAAAACAUGCGAUAAUUACCAAACUGAAAAGUAAACUAAAAUUGAAUUCGAAUCACAAAGCUAACCGGUGUUUCUAUUUGCCAUUACCUGUUGGUGCUCGGGAGUCUACCAAAUAGAAAACCAUUCCUAACAUCUUUCAACAUGAUAGCACUCUUAGGCCUUUGGAAACUGCAUAUGAAAAUUCAUUCUCAAAAGCUACGCUAACGCUAAAAGCAUAUACCAUAUUCAAAAAACAAAAAGGUAGUGCAUUUUCAAUCGCCACAUUGUUUGAUUUGCAAGUAAAAGCAUUUCGUGUAGCAAGAAUCAAACCCACUAAAGACAACUUUCCUCAGUUUUGCUGUGUUUUUAUUAUACUCGGCAUAUGUUUCUUUUAUUUUUUGCUUUUAAGAAGCUAAUAGGAAUUAUAGUUAUCAUUGACAUUAUCAAGUUUUUCAUUCACCUAACUAUGAAUAUAAACAUUUGGUCCAGUGCUCAUAUUUAGGAGUGACAAGGGCCACGAUAUAUAAAUGAAACAAAAUAUGAAGGGAAAAAAAGUGAUUGUCCUUCUCACAUGGAGACCUUGAGGUUGUAUCUUUUUAAUGGUGGAUAUAGUUCACAGUUCAUCCAAUAAUAAUGCAGACUUUGUAGGUAGUGAAAGUGUUGUGACUAUCAGUGGCUUGACCUUUUUAGAUCUAAAAUAAAACACUUUCCUUAGUUUCUUUGUCCUUUUCGUUCUUCUUUUACUCUCUUUCCUCAUCAUUUACUCUAUAAUAUCAGUUCCUCACAUCUCAUAACCAAAGAAUUGAAAGUAUUAAUUUUAAUUUUAUUCAUAUCAACCUGGUCUUUCUUAUUUUAUUUUAGCUUUUACAUUAAAAUCUUAAGUUAUAGAGACGAAGCAAACCAAUUUUUAUAAAAGACUAUCAUGGAUCGUUUAUAUAAAGAAGACUGUCAUAGAUUAUUGAAGCUUGUGUUCAUUAAAAGAAGGGCCCUAAGGACUUUCAUGGAACACCUUAGGGGUCGUUUCAUUCGGUUAGGAAAUUUUUUGAAACUUAGUAGGUACUAAGAAAAUGCUAUUUCACACUUUGUUUCUUCGACAUAUCAGAAAAAUAUGAAUUACAUUGACCCAAGCAUGAAGUGAACAACUCAAUUGUAAUUUAGUUAUUUUCAAACGUAUUCAAAAAGCCAGAAAAAGUAAAAAGCACAAAAUCAGAAAGACUAUAAGGUUCAAAACAAUGAGUAGACAUAAAAAAAUAUUCGGCCAAGAGGACCAAGACAUUAUCAAAGAUCUGAAUCAACCCACUAUGACUUUUAAUAGUUUGGAUUUCUUUGCAUUCAACGCAAAGCUAUACAUGCAAACAUAUUGAAUCCCUAAGAAUCACAAAAUUCUGUAUAAAUUAGAAGAAAAACUUAAAUAUGAAAAAGUACAAACCUAACAAUGAUAUUUUUACAAAAAUGGCUGAAGGCGCCUUCAAGCACAUGCCCUGUAACAUCCCAUGAUAACUGAUAACCCUAUGACAUCUAGAUUCGCAAUAAAAUUGGUCCUUUCAUGGUUUUCUCCACGCUUUCCAUAACGAAACUCUGAAAUAAUUGAACAGAAUACUAAUCAAUUUGGUACAGUAAGAAAAUCUAAGAAUUCAAUUGAGUUGAAAUCAAAUAAACAUUGACUUUGGGUUGAGCACAAGAGAUAUAAAUUGUUCUGUAUUGGGAGUGAAAUUCCAAAGAAAAAUCAGUAAGCAAGACCAAAGAGAGGGAAAACCGAGAAUGAAGAACCGAGAAUGAAGAAAGAUGAGCAGACUCGGGGCCUCAGGUAAGCGAUAAGAUUAUGCGGUGAGAAAAGGAUGUUGUGGCUGAGAAAGAAAUC